rfam:Oryza glaberrima chromosome 10 Oglab10_0128_13, whole genome shotgun sequence.
AAAAAGACAAACUCUUCUGUAUUCAAUAUUUGACCGUCCGUUUUAUUUAAAAAAAUAUAAAAAAAAGUAAAAAGACAAGUCACGCAUCAAAUAUUAAUCAUAUUUUAUCAUCUAACAAAAAUAAAAAUACUAAUUAUAAAAAAAGCUCAUAUAAGAUGGACAGUCAAAACGUUGGACACAAGAAUUUAGGGUCUGUUUUUUU